rnacentral:rRNA from 1 species
UGGGGAAUAUUGCACAAUGGGGGAAACCCUGAUGCAGCGACGCCGCGUGAACGAAGAAGGUAUUCGUAUCGUAAAGUUCUGUCCUAUGGGAAGAUAAUGACAGUACCAUAGAAGAAAGCUCCGGCUAAAUACGUGCCAGCAGCCGCGGUAAUACGUAUGGAGCGAGCGUUGUCCGGAAUUAUUGGGCGUAAAGGGUACGCAGGCGGUUUAAUAAGUCGAAUGUUAAAGAUCGGGGCUCAACCCCGCAAAGCAUUGGAAACUGAUAAACUUGAGUAGUGGAGAGGAAAGUGGAAUUCCUAGUGUAGUGGUGAAAUACGUAGAUAUUAGGAGGAAUACCAGUAGCGAAGGCGACUUUCUGGACACAAACUGACGCUGGGGUACGAAAGCGUGGGGAGCAAACAGG